CCACUCCAUUGAGAUCUGAAUCUCUCAGGUCAGCCACCAUGAUUUCUGAACCCUACAUCGGCAACCAUUGACAAAUUAAUGGUGAAUUUAUCAGCGGUUAUAUGAGCAAUGUGAAAAAUGCUAAGUAUAUUGGCUAGGCGUGAUGAUAGUCAUGGCAAAGGAGAGCGUCGGCAUCAUUGGUGAUGUUGCUUCUGCAUUUGGACAUUGUGAAGUGGCUCGAUGAUGGUUGUGACUAACGAUCAUCUUUUACCAGCAUGAGGUUCAAGGAAUAAUUUGAAAAGCCAAAAGAUUUUGGAUGUUUUAAUUCUCGUCCAACAGGAUGUUUGAGCUUUUUAUAUCACGGUGCAAAAGUCAUGUUUUGAAAGAUUUGUGCAAGUAUUCAACAAGUAGUGCCAAUGCAUAUGUUAAGACGUCGAAUCCAUGUGAAAUGGGUGCAUGCUAAUAUAUGAGUUUUGUAUUCAUUUCACGUGCAUUCGAUGCCUCAAUAUAUGCAUAGGCACUAGUUUGUACAAUCAUUGGGAAUGUGUGGACGGCUUUGUUUCAUGUGCAAUAUCAAGGCAUAUCUUGAGACGUUGUUUCCAUGUGAGAUUGGUGUUACUACAAGGUUAGUUGCUUCACCAAUUUCACAUGGAUUCAUGUCUCAAAAUAUGCAUUGGUAUUGCACAUGGGACAACCUUUUUAGUUCUUCACAAACAUGAUCUUUUACACCGUGAUUUGUAGAGCUCCAACAUUUUGUUGGAUUGGAAUUGAAAAGCCUGGAUGGUUUGGAUUUUCAAUCCCACAAGUACUAGACAAAGAAUUGCAUUCUUGUACAACUUAAUUCUUUUUCUGUGAGGUUUUAAGCUAUUCAAACACUCUACCCAUUUUUCUUUAAAGUUGAGCACUUUGUAGAAGUUUUGAUCAUUAUGUUUAAUUGUUUCAAUAUUUUUUAUGCA